CCAGCACUUUUGUUAUUGUUGGUAUCGCCCCGCACACGCUCGGCUGGGAAAUUCCAGCCGAAGAUUUGCACAGCUGGCUUACCGGGUUGGAUAUACCGAUCGCUCAGCAUCAUACCUUCAUCAAGUCCGCUCACUAGACCGCUUGUUUUGCAAACCACAAACAACGGAAAAAAACGACUACAACAGCUAACGCUACACUCUUUCACUCAUCAAGACCGUUGUUUGCCGCGCAAGAUGUUGGCAAGUAAACGGUGUAACCCAUCAGUGGUCACUUUUUGGACGCGCCGGCACGACUUUGAUUGAUGAUGAGAAAAACGGCAGUCGACAGGGAAGAAGCGAAUGUGACAGUACAAUUUUGGGUGGCGUUUUUUUUUACUUGCGUGCGUAACAAUUAGGCGCAUAAAUUGGUUUAAAAUUAUGCUACAAGCGCAACAUCGGAUGGCUGGAGUGUGCGAGAUAAUCUAAACCGAGAUGAUGGUGAAACUGGAGCGAUUAAGUCAGGAGACAAGAUAGAUGCUUAAAAGUUUAGUGAGUUGUAUGCAUAAAAACGAAUUGUUAGAAAAUGAGUCAGCUAUAAAAAAAAUACAAAAUCACAAACUAAUGAAAUAUAUAAUCAGAGCUAAGAAAACAAAAUCAAAGAAAAUAAUAGACAAAAAACGAACAGUCAAAAAUUGAAACAGUAAUCAGAAUAUGAAUAACAAAAACAAAGAGUUGUUAAUAAAACUUGAAACAAA